UACAGAGGGGCUAGCGUUAUUCGGAAUUAUUGGGCGUAAAGGGCGCGUAGGCGGCCAUGCGUGUCUUCCGUGAAAUCCCUCGGCUUAACUGAGGACGUGCGGAAGAAACUGCAAGGCUCGAGUCCGGGAGAGGGGGGGGUGGAAUUCCCAGUGUAGCGGUGAAAUGCGUAGAUAUUGGGAGGAACACCGGUGGCGAAGGCGGCCCCCUGGACCGGUACUGACGCUGAGGCGCGAAAGCGUGGGGAGCAAACA
rnacentral:rRNA from 1 species